rnacentral:rRNA from 1 species
AACGAACGCUGGCGGCAUGCCUAACACAUGCAAGUCGAACGAGACCUUCGGGUCUAGUGGCGCUCGGGUGCUUAACGCGUGGGAACCUGCCCUUAGGUUCGGAAUAACUCCCCGAAAGGUGUGCUAAUACCGGUUAAUGUCUUCGGACCAAAGAUUUAUCGCCUUUGGAUGGGCCCUCGUUGGAUUCGCUAGUUGGGAGGGUAAAAGCCUACCAAGGCGACGAUCCAUAGCUGGUCUGAGAGGAUGAUAAGACACACUGGGACUGAGACACGGCCCAGACUCGUACGGGAGGGAGGAGUGGGGAAUAGAGGACAAUGGGGGAAAGCCUGAUCAAGCAAUGCCGCGUGAGUGAUGAAGGCGGUAGGGAAGGAAAGCUCUUUUACACGGGAUGAUAAUGACAGUACCGGGAGAAUAAGCACCGGCUAACUACGUG